rnacentral:rRNA from 1 species
GUGGGGAAUUUUGGACAAUGGGCGCAAGCCUGAUCCAGCAAUGCCGCGUGUGUGAAGAAGGCCUUCGGGUUGUAAAGCACUUUUGUCCGGAAAGAAAUCUCCUGGGUUAAUACCUCGGGGGGAUGACGGUACCGGAAGAAUAAGCACCGGCUAACUACGUGCCAGCAGCCGCGGUAAUACGUAGGGUGCGAGCGUUAAUCGGAAUUACUGGGCGUAAAGCGUGCGCAGGCGGUUUUGUAAGACAGAUGUGAAAUCCCCGGGCUUAACCUGGGAAUUGCAUUUGUGACUGCAAGGCUAGAGUGUGUCAGAGGGGGGUAGAAUUCCACGUGUAGCAGUGAAAUGCGUAGAGAUGUGGAGGAAUACCGAUGGCGAAGGCAGCCCCCUGGGAUAACACUGACGCUCAUGCACGAAAGCGUGGGGAGCAAACAGGAUUAGAAACCCUUGUAGUCC